UACGAAGGACCCGAGCGUUAUCCGGAUUUAUUGGGUUUAAAGGGUGCGUAGGCGGAUUUACAAGUCAGUGGUGAAAUCUCCCAGCUCAACUGGGAAACUGCCAUUGAAACUGUUUAUCUUGAGUACAUUUGAGGCGGGCGGAAUGUGUCAUGUAGAGGUGAAAUUCUUAGAUAUGACACAGAACACCAAUUGCGAAGGCAGCUCGCUAAACUGUAACUGACGCUGAGGCACGAAAGCGUGGGGAGCAAACAGG
rnacentral:rRNA from 1 species